UCAGAGGUCCCUCCCAGGUCCAACAUGCCAAGGCCUCCUUGUUGGACUCCUUGUGCAGCAGGAAGGAUCGUCAGUAUUUCUUACUGAAGUAAUCUUUUUCUCCUAAGGUUCUGUCAAGCUAGACACUUUAAAAGGACACUUUUGAGAACGUGUAGAACAGGCAGAAAGAAUCCAAGGUCUCCAAUAAUUAACAUACUUACUCCCACUUGCUAGACUGAGAGCUGUGCAGCCGGGGCCGGAGUCGAUGUAUCAUAUCUCCCUCUGCUGGGAGGCACCGCAAUCGCUCAGCCGCCUGUCGCCACCGGAGCUGCCUUCAGAAACAGCGAGGGCAACGCUCGCCUCAGGUCCCAACAAAUAGGAACUGACAGUAGGUCUCACCUUUUGUAUUUUUGCAGUGAAU